rnacentral:rRNA from 1 species
UACGUAGGGUGCAAGCGUUGUCCGGAAUUAUUGGGCGUAAAGAGCUCGUAGGCGGUUUGUCGCGUCUGCUGUGAAAACCUAAGGCUCAACCUUGGGCUUGCAGUGGGUACGGGCAGACUAGAGUGCGGUAGGGGUGACUGGAAUUCCUGGUGUAGCGGUGGAAUGCGCAGAUAUCAGGAGGAACACCGAUGGCGAAGGCAGGUCACUGGGCCGCAACUGACGCUGAGGAGCGAAAAGCAUGGGGGAGCGAACAGG